rnacentral:rRNA from 1 species
GCAAUAGGUAUGCUUAGGGAAGAGCUUGCGUCACAUUAGUUAGUUGGUGGGGUAAUGGCCUACCAAGACGAUGAUGUGUAGCCGGGCUGAGAGGUCGAACGGCCACAUUGGGACUGAGACACGGCCCAAACUCCUACGGGAGGCAGCAGUAAGGAAUUUUCGGCAAUGGAGGAAACUCUGACCGAGCAAUGCCGCGUGAACGAUGAAGUAUUUCGGUACGUAAAGUUCUUUUAUUAGGGAAGAAAAGAUGGUGGAAAAACCAUUAUGACGGUACCUAAUGAAUAAGCCCCGGCUAACUAUGUGCCAGCAGCCGCGGUAAUACAUAGGGGGCAAGCGUUAUCCGGAAUUAUUGGGCGUAAAGGGUGCGUAGGCGGUUAAAUAAGUUUAUGGUCUAAGUGCAACGCUCAACGUUGUGAUGCUAUAAAAACUGUUUAGCUAGAGUUGGAUAGAGGCAAGUGGAAUUCCGUGUGUAGUGGUAAAAUGCGUAAAUAUACGGAGGAACACCAGAAGCGAAGGCGGCUUGCUGGGUCUUAACUGACGCUGAGGCACGAAAGCGUGGGGAGCAAACAGGAUUAGAUACCCUGGUAGUCCACGCCCUAAACGAUGAGUACUAAACGUUGGAUAAAACCAGUGUUGAAGUUAACACAUUAAGUACUCCGCCUGAGUAGUACGUACGCAAGUAUGAAACUUAAAGGAAUUGACCGGGACUCCGCACAAGCGGUGGAUCAUGUUGUUUAAUUUCGAAGGUACCCGAAAAACCUCACCAGGUCUUGACAUGCUUUUGCAAAGCUGUAGAAAUACAGUGAGGUUAUCAGAACGCACAGGUGGUGCAUGGUUGUCCGUCAG